AGAGUUUGAUCCUGGCUCAGGACGAACGCUGGCGGCAGGCUUAACACAUGCAAGUCGAACGCACCGCAAGGUGAGUGGCAGACGGGUGAGUAACGCGUGGGAACGUGCCCUUUGGUUCGGAAUAGCUCCGGGAAACUGGAAUUAAUGCCGGAUACGCCCUUCGGGGGAAAGAUUUAUCGCCAAAGGAUCGGCCCGCGUCAGAUUAGGUAGUUGGUAGGGUAACGGCCUACCAAGCCGAUGAUCUGUAGGUGGUCUGAGAGGAUGAUCACCCACACUGGGACUGAGACACGGCCCAGACUCCUACGGGAGGCAGCAGUGGGGAAUAUUGGACAAUGGGCGAAAGCCUGAUCCAGCCAUGCCGCGUGGAUGAAGAAGGCCCUAGGGUUGUAAAGUCCUUUCGGCGGGGAAGAUAAUGACGGUACCCGCAGAAGAGCCC
rnacentral:rRNA from 1 species